UGGGGAAUAUUGAACAAUGGGCGCAAGCCUGAUCCAGCCAUGCCGCGUGAGUGAUGAAGGCCUUAGGGUUGUAAAGCUCUUUUACCUGGGAAGAUAAUGACGGUACCAGGAGAAUAAGCCCCGGCUAACUUCGUG
rnacentral:rRNA from 1 species